CCUCUUCUAAAAAGCACUUGCAAUGUCUGCUCAGUGGCACGGUGAGUUGUCGUGGAAGAGGAAAAUAAAACAUUGCUUUUGGGUGAAGGGGCAGCUUACAUGUGCUGUUUAACUUCAAUCAGUGAUGUUACAUUU
rnacentral:snoRNA from 1 species